rnacentral:rRNA from 1 species
CAGCCGCCACGGGAAUACGGAGGGAGCUAGCGUUGUUCGGAAUUACUGGGCGUAAAGCGCGCGUAGGCGGUUACUCAAGUCAGAGGUGAAAGCCCGGGGCUCAACCCCGGAACUGCCUUUGAAACUAGGUGACUAGAAUCUUGGAGAGGUCAGUGGAAUUCCGAGUGUAGAGGUGAAAUUCGUAGAUAUUCGGAAGAACACCAGUGGCGAAGGCGACUGACUGGACAAGUAUUGACGCUGAGGUGCGAAAGCGUGGGGAGCAAGCAGGAUUAGAUACCCCAGUAGUCCCUGUCUCUUAUAA